rnacentral:lncRNA from 1 species
CCGAACGAAGUUAGCACGGGUUAGUUAAUUAUAAAUUCUUGCGAAGUUUAUACCUUACUAGAUACCGGUUCUACCCAUUCUUUUAUCUCUCUUGCUUGCGCUCAACGUUUGAACUUGACUACGGAGAAAUUAGACUUUGACCUAUCUGUGGAGACUCCGUUAAGAGAAACUUUUAUUACAUCCGUUGUUUAGAAAUCUUGCUUGAUUCAGGUUGG